rnacentral:rRNA from 1 species
AUCUGCCCAGUCGAGGGGGAUAACAGUUGGAAACGACUGCUAAUACCGCAUACGCCCUACGGGGGAAAGGAGGGGACCUUCGGGCCUUCCGCGAUUGGAUGAACCUAGGUGGGAUUAGCUAGUUGGCGAGGUAAUGGCUCACCAAGGCGACGAUCCCUAGCUGUUCUGAGAGGAUGAUCAGCCACACUGGGACUGAGACACGGCCCAGACUCCUACGGGAGGCAGCAGUGGGGAAUAUUGCACAAUGGGCGAAAGCCUGAUGCAGCCAUGCCGCGUGUGUGAAGAAGGCCUUCGGGUUGUAAAGCACUUUCAGUAGGGAGGAAAGGUUAACGAUUAAUACUCGUUAGCUGUGACGUUACCUACAGAAGAAGGACCGGCUAACUCCGUGCCAGCAGCCGCGGUAAUACGGAGGGUCCGAGCGUUAAUCGGAAUUACUGGGCGUAAAGCGUGCGCAGGCGGUUAUUUAAGCCAGAUGUGAAAGCCCCGGGCUCAACCUGGGAAUUGCAUUUGGAACUGGGUAACUAGAGUCUUGUAGAGGGAGGUAGAAUUUCAGGUGUAGCGGUGAAAUGCGUAGAUAUCUGAAGGAAUACCGGUGGCGAAGGCGGCCUCCUGGACAAAGACUGACGCUCAUGCACGAAAGCGUGGGGAGCAAACAG